CGCACGCUGUUGCCGGCAGUGCGCCAGAGAUUCGAUAAGCUUGUCAUGGUUGCUUAUAAAAAUCAUUUCAGAUUUGUCACUAACACUUAACUGUUAUCAAACGAUCAUUUCUGACCAAGUACACCGCGUUACUAUUAUAUUAUACUAAUUGCAAUAUUCAAUUUACAGAUGCGAUAAUGGGAACGAUAUGGACAGCGGCAUUGGAAGAAAUCCUUCAUUGAAAAGCAGCUCGAUCGACCGAUAACCGAAUGUAUGUACGUUCAUCGUCGUGCAGUUGCAAUGCAAUGCCAGCUUUGAUGGGAUUGGUAUGAUAAUGGAAGCAUAGAUUAACACACGGUGAAGGUCAAACGACCCUCUCAUUCUCGCACACCCGGCCACCCUUUCCGGCAACCUACCCCUCUUGUGACAUUUAAUAAGCACCCAUGGUACUGUGUUGAAUUAAUGUUACGGGCCACUGGUGACUCGGAAAAUAUAAUACGUGUUAAUAACUCAAGGGACUUUAAAAGCGGAACGUCACGACGAUGAAGAAAAUGUGCCAUUUUUUACAACGUGAUUCUGCAUUAAUUAUUUAGGUCAAGAAGAAUAAUCGGUUGCAAGUAGCCAACAAGAAAGGUUGCCUGGCUUCUUUAUUGCAACUAUCUGGAAGGCCUUUCGCCUCGUUACCUUACACAUCGAACCAGUGUGACUGUGGGCCAUGUUAACAAGGAGAGCUCUUCAAGUUACAAAGACUUUAAUAAGUUCUUACGUUUCAAUAUAUCAUCUCUUCAUCUUUCAAGUUAACUUGGCGUUAAGUCCGAUUUUAAAUUUCUUUUGUUUGAUUGUCUCAAUUUAAUCAAGUUCAGUCAAACUUGUAAUCAACGUGUUUUCAUCAAAUUGAUCACAAACGUCUAAAGACCACCUGCUCACGAAGGUGUGUCUAAUAAUAAAUUACAAUCUAAAAAUAAUUCUUCACCUCGACGUCAACGGAAUAAUAUCUUAGAUAGAUUAGAUCGACGAUUCUUGUGGUAAUUACUAGGGUUUGUCGCUGGGCAAAAUUAAGCUUCAAAAUUGUACUCUACCGAACGUUGCGUGUUACUGUUCACUAAACCGUAGUAGUGUUUUACGAAUCUCAGAGAUCAUGUUCAGAUACUCUUUCUUUAAGAACAAUAAUUAAUAUAAAAUUGAUACUCUUCGUACUGUGAUGCAUAAUACCAGUUUGAAAAACUUGAAAUUUUGAAGAAGACGAAGAAGAAAAGGAACUCCAUUGAGAGAGUCUAGCCAAGGUCACGGUGCAACAAUCUUCCACUUCGAGGUAUGCAAUGCCGAUCGAACGGAAGGUGUAACGAAAGUACGCGUGGGUGCUCCCUCGUCUCGACUGGGUUCACCAUGGGUGCUACAACCCUUAACCUUUUAACGCAUUUACUCGGUCGUGCACCCCUUGCGUUGAUUCAAUCUUGAGGUGUUUUGCAUAUUACCUGUGAUUUUCAGUUCUCAGGAUAAUGAAACCCAAUAAAUCUUAGAACCUGCACAUUCUGAAGAAAAAUACCAACUCUAAAGGUUAUCAAGAAUAUUCCAGCCUUCAAAUAUUUCCAUGUUAUCAAACUCCUGCAUAAUUCAUAUUUAUAAGAUAUUCAUCAUAGGUAUACCAAUACCAAUAGGAUUCACAAGAAUACAUUUAGACUUGAGGCUUCCUUUUACAUGGUGCACAAAAUCAUUUUCAUUUGAAAUAUAAGAUUAUGAACCAAAGUUUUAUAUGGUCACCCUGUAUAAACUGAAGCAGCAAUACAUUUUAAAGGGGUGAAUAUCCUUCUUGACCAUUUACCUUGAUGAUAAGAGAACCUAGACGGUCGAAAGGUCGCUUCCCUCUACUUCAACCCUUCACCUUUGGGAACAGGUCAUUGACUAUGGAUUAUCAUUCAACUAGUUCAACAUAAUUGACCUCUUUAACUUCAUGUCACCAAGAAUUGUAACAAAGAGGAUGUUUUAAAGUGACUCGCAACAGUUGAAGUCCGGAUUUGCUAUAUAAAAUGUAUAUAUUUGCCACAAUUUCCAUAUGCCAUUUGAUGCAUGUGCCGGGUACGAUAAUUGGCUGGUGAUAAGGCCCUAUGCAACGAUAAGCUGUUUACGACGCGACCGUUGAGUUAAUUCGGCUCGGACCGAUUAACACGAAACAUUUUUUCUUUCCUUCUUUUAUCAUCGAUCUCACGUGGCUUACAACGUAAGCUUGAUUUUUUGCGACGAUCACCUAGCUCUGCUUAUUAUUACUUUCAUGCACAGCUAUAAGACACGAAUAGGAAAACUUGCUGGAACCGCGAUGGAACAGUGAAUUUCUACAAUUACAUUCUGUAUUAUUGAAGCUGGUAACAGGGAAAGUUUGUUGAGGAGGUGCGUGACGAGCGAGGGUGGCACGCAAGGAAAGGUGUAACACAGAGGGUAGUUGUCCUGCGAACGUUCUGCGACAAGCGUGCAACGGGGAGCUGGGUUAAAAGGCAACGAGUAGCAUAGAGACGGGGAUGCCGCAGUGAUUUACAUAUCGUCGAUCGGUACACGUCAUCUAGCUACGUGGCUGUAUACGCACCAGAAACGAUCGUGGCACGACCGUUUUCUCGAAACGACGUCUAAUCGACCUACCGAAAUUCAUUUCGUUUCGAAUCCUGUCUCAUGCAUAUUCAGCCCGACAACUGGCGAUAAAUGAACAGACCUAUGGAUCGCAAUGCGAACAAGAACACGAAUCUGCGCGUUUCGCGAUAAAACAUGGAAAGAAAAUUACAAAUUUGUACACGCAUAAUCGUGCGUGUUGAUACAAUGGAAGCAUAAUUUCUUAACUUUAUGAGAAGAAAGAGGAAAUAAAUUUCAUUCAGAAUUUACUGGUAAUUUAAUAUAUUCAGAGAGUUUAGAAAUUUGUAACUGCAUUCUACUGAAAAUUUUGCCGGUAAAUCACUCUGAUAUUGUAAAUGUAAUGACAUUCUUUUAUUGCUAAUAAGGCAAGGAUAUUAGAGGUUCUGCAAUUAGAUGCAGUAGAUAUACCAGUGUUGAAAUGAUGUAUAUUCCUAAUAAUUCAGAAAGCACGAAACCCGGGACAAUCAUGUGUACACGUUUCCCUUAUUUCAUGGUGGUAAAUUGAAUCACUAAAAAUACCAGCAUACAAGACAUUAUCCAAAAUGCAAAUUUUCAUGCACGCUAAAACGUAACAACUCAGGGAAAUUGAAAAGCAUACGAGGAAACAGGGAAUUGAAAUUCUGUUGAUUGGAAUACUCAUUGCAGGAAGACAGUUAUGGAAUCAGAUUUGACUGACCGUGUGAUUAUUAGGCAAUUUAAGGGUAUAUCAGCUAUCAGGAUCAACGUACAGCGAAUUAAAGUGAACUACCUUAGGGCAUGCACUCUUUUGAGAAACAACAACGGAUAUCGAAGAAAUUUACGAGCUGGACGGUUCCCUGGUUUAUCGGUGCAAAUAUUUUUCGUCCACCUCAUUAUUCAGCAUGCAAUUAAUCUAAUUGUAAGACCGGACAUGCAACCUGUCCAACUGGUCAAAAAAUUGAUAAGAAAGGACGAAAUUUUAGGGUAGACCUUGUGAAACUUAUAACUACCCUCCUAAUAUUCUUGAAACACGGUACACGUCAAAAGUGUUUAAACUUGUCAACUAAAAUUUAGGAAAAUUUAUGUAUCAGCUCUGAAAUAUUUACGUUACAGAACUCGCGUCUGCUUUUUGACAAGUUUUUAAAGAUUGUUUCUUGCUUUUUUAGCCGCCUGUUCCAUAUAAUUUCGUGACGCAUGUAGGUCAGAUACACGCAAAACUCUUUGUCUCGUUCAUUCGUGACUUCGGUGGCUGACACGAAUUUCAAGCUGACCAACGAUUAGUUCUUUCUAGACCGUGUUAUCCUCUUAUGAAUUUACGCUGCGACCCGGGCGAAAUGUACGGUUCUGAAAGAAAGGAGGACUCGUUAUCGCCAACUGGACUUACACCGCGAUAUGAAAAUGAAGAACGAGCAUGUAACGUGCGUGACAGAUCGUUUUGUGCUCGAAAUGUGUCGCAACGAUUACAAAGAAACAAUCGGCGACGAUUAUUCACGCGUUAAAACCAGGGCUUGGCGAUGAUCUAUCAGCGUUCAGAAAUAGAUGUCUUAACGUAGAAGAAGAAAAGAAUUGAUUUCGAACGGAAAUCUUGUGUAUCCUGAAAAAAAGUGCACAAGGGAAUAAGGAGCUAUACAUUUGAAUCGACGAUGAAUCCUGAAGAAUUUCAUCGUCAAGCUUCUAGAGAAGGAAUGGUAGAAACGCAGUUUGUGAAUCGUCCGUGUAGAGAAGUUCGUGUUUAUUGAUCCCUUGCGGGCUGACCAACGGUCAAUGAGAUACGGUCUCUCCCUUGGUAGCCGCCCUACGAGAGCCCUGCAUCGGUCUCCUUAACGGAAGUACGAACCGACCCACCGCCUACCCUCCAUCCUACCACGCGUGAUUCAUAUCUUCUUGGAGAGACUCGGUGGAAAAUCAGCGCCAACAAUGAUUUCGAAGAAUCAAAAGCAUCGAGUGGCGUGACUCGACACUUUGAAUUUAUAAUUAGAACAUGGUUGCUAGCUGUGUCACAUAUACCUGACACUUUUGAUUUCUUACAAGAACGUAACAUUGGCCAUUUCGUAUGCAACAAUCAGUAUUGUAUUUAAAAGAAUAAUUGUAGCAACCAAUCUCUACCGGCAUUGUCCAUUUAUACACGUGUCCAAAGAAGUAUAGCAAAGUCCAAUUUCUUUCAGACGACAGAGACAAGUUUUCUCUUGACGACAAAAACAUUGUAAAGAAAAUGUAGGUCGUAAAGAGGUGAAGAAAUGGCACAAUCAAAGACCACUUAAUGACACAGCGUUUAUCGCGAUGGAAGAAAUGGAUUGAUCGUUACUAUGAAGGAGGUGAAAGUAUGCGGACGGGUGCAGGAUAAUAAGGCGAUUGUUCGGUAAAAUAGGAUAGUGUACCAUUUCUCAGCUGGACUGAGGAUCAGGUAGGAGAAGAAGAAUCGAAGACAGGGAGAAAGGAAGCGAUUGCUGCGCAACCGCAGGCUCGAUUGUCCAGCCCUUUUCACCCCUACUUCCAGGCCGACCCUAUGGCAAUACUUGCUCCCCCUUUUCGUUCACAUCCCUACCACCAAACCGCAGAUUCACCUUACGUGACACGUCGAUCUUCCAUGCCACGUGGCUUUGGUAAACAAUGCUUGAAUCAACCUGACACAGGGUGACCGCAGUUCUCUCAAAGGAUGACAGAACUAACAUCAAUGAAGUAAAGAAGAAUACUUGAGGAUUCCAUUGAGUAGUCAUCCAAUUUUGGGAUUCGCCUAAUUUUUUAUAUGGGUCAAGUACAAAUACAGGUCACGAAAGUGUAAACACAGAUUCUGGACUGCAAUCUGGUGCAAUCGGCAUGCAAAGACUUCCAUAUAGAACGAUAGGAUCGUGUAUAAGCUUUGACCACUUUACCGGAUUAACGGUUGACCCGGCACGAGACCAGCGCCGAUCGAAAUAACGUAUCGUACGUACAUAAAGCCAGGCAGAAACGGCGACGAUAUACGUUUAACGAGCGGCCUGGUCACACCUUAAAACCUAGAAAUCAGGUUGGGCGUGGGCCACCCUUUAACCGUGCCAUGACGCAGCGUAGGUGAAACCAAUCCUUCCUAUCAGCACCUUCAUAAAAAUAAUGAAUAUCCUGUGGCCUUACAGUUGAAUCUGGCUGAAAGGUUUCACCAGUUAAUUGGCCCAUUUUUCACUGAAUCCUUCUCGAUCGGCCUUACUUUUGAUUCAUUCUACGUCAAAGCCUGUCGUUAGAGGAUCUUUAUCAUGGUAUACUUUUCUUUCAGAGUCUUAUUUCUUGUCACUUAAAUGACACUUUGUUAUACUUUAACAAAGAAUGUGAUACGUGAUAGAAUGCACUGAUUAACUAAUGAAUCUUCAACAAACCAUAUUGGCUAGGAUGUUCUAUUACAUAUGAUUAGAUCUUAAUCCUCUAAUGACCCUAUAUUAUCUGGAGCUAUAGCAUGAAAAGUUAAGCAGCAUUAACUAUUGUUUAGGAAGUUUCAAUUGCGUACAUGUUUGUCAUAGAAAAGCAAUAUAAAGAGUAAUAAUAAUCGUUAUUUUUAGCUAAUCAGCCAGAUUGGCGUUGCGUGUGGCCUGUUUAAGGGUUGAUCUGGGCCAGAUACACAAACAUCGUAGACGAUAAAUAUACGCAGUUUUCUUAUAAAUUGCCACAUCGCGUCCUCGCCAACCCUCUUAAACUCUUCAGCAUGUACGUGUACGUUUGUACGCGUGUCUGGCAAUGUCCAGGCACGCAUUGUGGAAGUCCGUUGGUUUUACGUCCACCACCGUGCUCGGCUCAUGAAUAUUAAGAGUGUAUACCAACCAGCCGACUUCUCGGUUUAAUUAUACGAACGAUUAGAGGCAACAUCUACCAGAAGGAUAUUUACUUUUCGCCGUACGACAAGUCCUUGCACGUGCUGAAUUAUCGUAGCCGUAAUGAGAUUGGUUCUCUCGCUGACGGUGGAGGGGUUGCGUUACCUGAACCGAGAUUCGAUCUACACGUACACACACAAACACACACGCGAUCUUGUGUCUCAAGAACCUUAUUUCUUCUUCGUGCAAUGUAUCAGAUCGAACGACCCACUUUUCCAACAGCGAUUAAGACCCUUUUUUCCAAGCGAUCUUACGAGGGGCGUAUACGUUACAAUAAUCGUAUUCAAUGAUAACAUUCGAAGGAAUUCUUACCUUGAACGUUUUGUAACUGGAUACAACGUACGAGGCACCGUCUUCAAGUUCG